UGUAGUUACUACUUGGUAGUUUAAAUUUCUGGGUAGAAUUAUGAUGAUGACAUUAUCUAUCUAUAAGUCUUGACCAAAUUACGUGCCAGCAGUCGCGGUAAUACGUAGAAGACAAGUGUUAUUCAUCUUUAUUAGGUUUAAAGAGUACCAAGACGGUUAAUAAAGCCUAUAAUACGUGAACACAGGGGGACACAUUAACUAGAGUUAUAUGAAAGGAAGCACUAAGGUACUGUUGAGUGUAGAGAUAAAAUUCGAUCAUACCAGAUGAAAGGCACAGAUUUAUGCGAAGGCAUCUUCUUAUGUAAUAACUGACGUUGUAGGACGAAGGCUUUUGAAGUGAAGAGGAUUAGAUACCCUUGUAAUCCAGGCAGAAAAUGAUGAAUGUCAUAGGUUUAAUAAAAAUUAAUACAGCAGUAUCUAUUAUAUUAUUGAGUCUAUAAAUGAAAGUGUAAGCAUUCCACCUCAAGAGUAAUUUGGCAACAUUGGAACUGAAAUCAUUAGACCGUUUCUGAAACCAGUAGUGAAGUAUGUUGUUUAAUUAGAUGAUACGCAAAAAACCUUACCACAAUUUGAAUAUAUAUCUUUAAAGAUAUUUACAAGCGUUGCACGGCUGUCUUCAGUUAAUGUCGUGAGAUUUUGGUUAGUUCCAUAAAAUUAACGUAAACCCUCGUUUUAUUUUUAAAUAAAAUU
rnacentral:rRNA from 2 species